GGCAAAAGCUCAAAUUUGAAAUCUGGUACCUUCGGUGCCCGAGUUGUAAUUUGGAGAGGGCAACUUUGGGGCCGUUCCUUGUCUAUGUUCCUUGGAACAGGACGUCAUAGAGGGUGAGAAUCCCGUGUGGCGAGGAGUGCGGUUCUUUGUAAAGUGCCUUCGAAGAGUCGAGUUGUUUGGGAAUGCAGCUCUAAGUGGGUGGUAAAUUCCAUCUAAAGCUAAAUAUUGGCGAGAGACCGAUAGCGAACAAGUACAGUGAUGGAAAGAUGAAAAGAACUUUGAAAAGAGAGUGAAAAAGUACGUGAAAUUGUUGAAAGGGAAGGGCAUUUGAUCAGACAUGGUGUUUUGUGCCCUCUGCUCCUUGUGGGUAGGGGAAUCUCGCAUUUCACUGGGCCAGCAUCAGUUUUGGUGGCAGGAUAAAUCCAUAGGAAUGUAGCUUGCCUCGGUAAGUAUUAUAGCCUGUGGGAAUACUGCCAGCUGGGACUGAGGACUGCGACGUAAGUCAAGGAUGCUGGCAUAAUGGUUAUAUGCCGCCC
rnacentral:rRNA from 1 species